ACUAACAACCUAGCCCAAACAACCAAUCCACCCCAUAUACAAUCUUCCCCCUCCCCCAAUUAAAACAUUCAUCUUUUAAGUAUAGGAGAUAGAAACAAUCACUUUGGAGCCAUACAAAAAGUACCGCAAGGGAAAGCUGAAAAAGAAAUGAAACAACCCAUCAAAGUAACAAAAAGCAAGGAUCAGCCCCCGUACCUUUCGCAUCAUGAUCUAGCAAGAACAUUCGAAGGCAAAAUGAAUUUCAGUCUUACCCCCCGAAACUAGACGAGCUAUUUAAAAGCAACCCCCUGGGAUAAUCCGUCUCUGUGGCAAAAGAGUGGAAAGACUUUUAAAUAGAGGCGACAAACCUAACGAGCCUAGUGAUAGCUGGUUGCUCGAUUAAUGAGUAUAAGCUCAGCCUUAAAUCUUAUCAAAAUAAUCAAACCAUAGACAUAAAAAUUUAAGACCUAUUCAUCAGAGGUACAGCUCUCAUGAAAAAGGAUACAACCUACAACAUCGGGUAAUGAUUAUACUGCCCCAGGUAACAACACCCAUGUUGGCUUAAAAGCAGCCAUCAACCAGAAAGCGUCACAGCUCAAAUGCAACCUAAACUUAUAAUUACUAUUACUUUUCAGAACCCACCAAACCAAACGAGCCCAUUUAUAACUAUAUAACCAAGUCGAUACUAGAAUUAGUAACAAGAAAACAAGAUUUUCUCAAAGCGCAAGCGUAAGUCAGACCGGACCCAACACUAACAACUACCGACCCAAACGACUAUGGCAUUAAUAUUAACAAACGAGAAGCCCACUAGCCUAACCCCACCGUUAACCCGACACAGGAGCGCAUUCACGAAAGAUUUAAAGAUAAAGAAGGAACUAGGCAAACAAUCAAGGUCCCGCCUGUUUACCAAAAACAUCGUCUCUAGCAAACAUCACAUACAUUAGAGAUACUGCCUGCCCAGUGAUAUUGAUUCAACGGCCGCGGUAUUCUGACCGUGCAAAGGUAGCGUAAUCACUUGUCUUUUAAAUAAAGACUAGUAUGAACGGCAAAACGAGGACUUAACUGUCUCCUUUAUCCUAUCAGUGAAAUUGAUCUUUCCGUACAAAAGCGGAAAUAACACCACAAGACGAGAAGACCCCAUGGAGCUUCAAACACGCAGUCAACUACAUUACACAAUCUACCACAAAAACAUGAAGACCUGACUCCCUGUUUUCGGUUGGGGCGACCACGGAGCAAUAUCAACCCUCCGAGAUGAUAACCACCUAAACUAAGGAACACCCCCCAAAGUAUCAGAAAUUCUGACACAAUUGACCCAAACCCUUGAUCAACGAACCAAGUUACCCUGGGGAUAACAGCGCCAUCCUUUCAAAGAGUCCCCAUCAACGAAAGGGUUUACGACCUCGAUGUUGGAUCAGGAUACCCAAGUGGUGCAACAGCCACUAAAGGUUCGUUUGUUCAACGAUUAAUAAUCCUACGUGAUCUGAGUUCAGACCGGAGCAAUCCAGGUCAGUUUCUAUCUGUGAAUAAUCUUUUCUAGUACGAAAGGACCGAAAAGAUACGGCCAAUAUAUAAAUAUAAGCCCUCCCUGACAAAUAUGAAAACAACUAAAAACAAAACAGGGCCUCACCCCCACCCCAAAAUAUAAGGGGUUU
rnacentral:rRNA from 1 species